rnacentral:rRNA from 1 species
UACAGAGGUCUCAAGCGUUGUUCGGAUUCAUUGGGCGUAAAGGGUGUGUAGGUGGCGCCGUAAGUCGGGUGUGAAAUCUCGGGGCUUAACUCCGAAACUGCAUUCGAUACUGCGGUGCUUGAGGACUGGAGAGGAGACUGGAAUUCAUGGUGUAGCAGUGAAAUGCGUAGAGAUCAUGAGGAAGACCAGUGGCGAAGGCGGAUCUCUGGACAGUUCCUGACGCUGAGGCGCGAAGGCCAGGGGAGCAAACGGG